rnacentral:rRNA from 1 species
UACAGAGACUGCAAGCGUUAUUCGGAUUCACUGGGCGUAAAGGGUGCGCAGGCGGCCGGGUGUGUCAGAUGUGAAAUCCCGAGGCUCAACCUCGGAACUGCGUCUGAAACUACUCGGCUAGAGUACUGGAGAGGGUAACGGAAUUCACGGUGUAGCAGUGAAAUGCGUAGAUAUCGUGAGGAACACCAGUGGCGAAGGCGGCUCACUGGCCCGGUACUGACGCUGAGGUGCGAAAGCGUGGGGAGCAAACAGG